rnacentral:rRNA from 1 species
GACGAACGCUGGCGGCGUGCUUAACACAUGCAAGUCGAACGCUGAAGACCUGGCUUUUGUUGGGUUGGAUGAGUGGCGAACGGGUGAGUAACACGUGGGUAACCUGCCCUCUUCUUUGGGAUAACGCCCGGAAACGGGUGCUAAUACUGGAUAUUCACUGAUCUUCGCAUGGGGGUUGGUGGAAAGGUUUGUUCUGGUGGGGGAUGGGCUCGCGGCCUAUCAGCUUGUUGGUGGGGUGAUGGCCUACCAAGGCUUUGACGGGUAGCCGGCCUGAGAGGGUGACCGGUCACAUUGGGACUGAGAUACGGCCCAGACUCCUACGGGAGGCAGCAGUGGGGAAUAGUGCACAAUGGGCGAAAGCCUGAUGCAGCGACGCCGCGUGAGGGAGGGAGGCCUUCGGGGUGUAAACCUCUUUCGCUCAUGGUCAAGCCGCAACUGUGGGUUGUGGUGAGGGUAGUGGGUAAAGAAGCGCCGGCUAACUACGUG